GAUGAACGCUGGCGGCGUGCUUAACACAUGCAAGUCGAGCGAAAAGACGAGGCGUUUGUUUGUCUGACGUUAGGCGAGGACGGGAGAGACACACGUGGAUCCCGUCCUUAUAAGACUGGGAACAUUUGGGGAAACCGGAGCUAAUACGGGAUAAUAUAUUGAACCGUGGGGUUAAAUAGUGAAAGCCGGUUUUGCUGUCAAUUUUAGAUGCUUCUGGGCCGCAUUAGCUAGUUGGUAAGGUAACGGCUUACCAAGGCAACGCUGCGUAGCCGACCUGAGAGGGUGAUCGGCCACACUGGAACUGAGACACGGGCCAGACUCCUACGGGAGGCAGCAGUAGGGAAUCUUCCGCAAUGGGCGAAAGCCUGACGGAGCAACGCCGCGUGAGUGAUGAAGGUCUUCGGAUCGUAAAACUCUGUUAUUAGGGAAGAACAGAUGUGUAAGUAACUAUGCACGUCUUGACGGUACCUAAUCAGAAAGCCACGGCUAACUACGUG
rnacentral:rRNA from 1 species